rnacentral:pre_miRNA from 1 species
AGAAAAUUGGAAACUACCGUUGGAUCGAGAAAUGGACGUCCGAGAUUCAUCCACGUCAUCGUGAGUUAAAAUUUAACUCCCGUAAAAUUUUAACUCAUGAGUGAAUCUGCGAGUUAAAUUUUAACUCAAGGUGACGUGGAAGAAUUUCAGACGUCCAUUUCUCGAUCUAACGGUAGUUUCCAAGUUUCC